UACGUAGGGGGCUAGCGUUGUCCGGAAUCAUUGGGCGUAAAGCGCGUGUAGGCGGUUCGGUAAGUCCGCUGUGAAAGUCGGGGGCUCAACCCUCGGAUGCCGGUGGAUACUGUCGGACUAGAGUACGGAAGAGGCGAGUGGAAUUCCUGGUGUAGCGGUGAAAUGCGCAGAUAUCAGGAGGAACACCGAUGGCGAAGGCAGGUCUCUGGGCAUUAACUGACGCUGAGGAGCGAAAGCAUGGGGAGCGAACAGG
rnacentral:rRNA from 1 species